ensembl:lncRNA novel transcript
AUAACAGACUGCAUUGGAAUCAUCUGUUUGCUUGUCUGUUUCUCUACCACUCAAUAAGCUCCUGAGGGGCCUCAUUAUCUCUCCAAUGCCUGGAUUAUAGUGUUGUUAAAUAAAUUUCCACAGAAUUGAACAGACACAGUUCAGAGGCCAAAAGAUCAAAGAUUCAGCAAAAGAAGGCCCCGAAGUGCGUGCUGAUUCCAGAAGAGAGGCUGCUUGUCUGUUUGGGAAGAAAAACCUCCCAACUCUUGCUUAUGAUCUCUGGUCCUAUCUCUUUUUCUCCUGCUUCAGUGAGUAGGGGGUUUGGCAAUUUAAAACAUUUUUAUUUUUAUUGUUUUGAAUCGGGCAGCCUCCAGAAUCACAGCAGAUUCAAAGAGAUUCCCUCGGGGUGGCAAUUUUACCUACUCUCAGCUCAGGGCUGCCUCUGCUCAGCAGACAUUAGACAACAGUGCUGAGAAUAUUUUCCUCCUAAUAAGAAAAUUCCAAUCACAAUGAUCAUGCUCAGAUACCUAAAGAGCUGCUGGAAUCUGAGCUCUGAAUACCUGGGGAAUUACUAUACUGUGAAAAAAGGCAGUCUGAAGAAAGAAAGGACAAUAAGAUGGGUAACCAACCAUCUUCAGUCUGUAUGUCUCUCCAAUGCAUCCUGAAUCACUGGGAUUCCUUUGAAAAGAGAAAAUCAACCUUCUUCUUCCUGUUUCCUCCUCUGUCCUCUCUUCAUGGAUGAAUAAUCAUGUCUCCAUACCACAGGACAUUUCCCUCUGUGAAAAGUUUAAUUUCUGCAUUAAACCACUUGGCUUAAAAAAAAAUGAACUGGGAAGACAUUAUAACUCACAUUCCCCUCUGUGAAAAGUUUAAUUUCCAUAAACCUUAAAUCACUUGACUUAAAAAAAAAAUGAACUGGGAAAACUCUAACUGAGCAAUCUCUUGAGGAAGGACAAUGUUUACAGUAUGCAAAUAACCUAUUUGUCUGCUCCCCCUUUACGGAACUCCAGGGUCAAAGGGCUUCAUAGCUCGGGGGAAGGGAACCCAGAAGCCUGACAUGCUGGCAAACGAGUAAAAGUUUUUUACCCAUCAGACUUCUGGCUUUUCUCUCUCUCUGUGCAAACUGUUUGAAUGAAUGAUAAAAAUCACUGUUUAUAUACUCUGAAACGUUGUGAUUAAUGGAAAAAGGAUUUGUGAGGUGAGUCUUAAGCUAUAGAGAAUCUGUGAUACUUUGUGUUAAGAAUUUCUCUUUCUGUAUCUUUCUAUCAGAAAGAGGGGUACCUUAGGAUAAAAUGUGGGUCUAGGCCCAAAUGUCCAACAAUGAUAGACUGGGUUAAGAAAAUGUGGCACAUAUACACCAUGGAAUACUAUGCAGCCAUAAAAAAUGAUGAGUUCAUGUCCUUUGUAGGGACAUGGAUGAAGCUGGAAAUCAUCAUUCUCAGUAAACUAUCGCAAGAACAAAAAACCAAACACCGCAUAUUCUCACUCAUAGGUGGGAAUUGAACAAUAACACAAGGACACAGGAAGGGGAACAUCACACUCUGGGGACUGUUGUAGGGUGAGGGGAGUGGGGAGGGAUAGCACUGGGAGAUAUACCUAAUGCUAGAUGACGAGUUAGUGGGUGCAGCACACCAGCAUGUCACAUGUAUACAUAUGUAACUAACCUGCACAUUGUGCACAUGUACCCUAAAACUUAAAGUAUAAUAAAAAAAAAAGUGGGUCUAGGACCCCAUAAGCCCAUUGUUCAAGUCAGCCUGACAAACUGGUCAGUAGCUAAUUUUGCUAUAGGUCUCCGAAGAAAAAAAAUGGGAUGAGGUCUCCGUUUUCUUUUACCUACUUGGGAGCUUGACCUUGUAACCACAUGGCAAUACUUUUUUGGUCUCCGCCGUUUUACAGUGGUGGCCCAGGUUCAAUCCUGGCUUAGGGAAUGAGUAUUUUCUGGUUAAUAUCUGUGUGACUUUUUCCAUUUGCUGAUUCUCUUCCCCUCCAUGAACAACUUCCAUAAUAGCUUCCUUUCUUAAAUCUUCCUUUCUCUGAGUUACCUUUAAAGAUUCUAGAUUUUGUAAAAACUGCUUACCACCUGUUUGAAAAUACCUUGUACACUCACGGUUAAGUCAUAGCCUUAGGUGAGGCUUGUUGGUUUCACCUAUGAGGUUACUUUUGGCAAAGUUUAAAAGCCAGAAAUAUUGGCCACUUGGUGUGGCUAAAGUUGGGUAAUAAGGGAUUUAAAAGGAUAUUUUUUUGAAAGAGUGUUAUGGUUGAAAGUCAGCUUAAUUAGGGCAACCCCCUUUGGGUCCCC